AGUAAAUAACAUGACUCUAUUAUUAAACGAUGUUUGAUACAUGUGACAAUUUUAUCCUAGGUCAAAACAAAAUAAUUUCACGAACUAACGUACAUAAACUUAAAUGUAACCAAAAGUGCGAGGGAUUGGAGAUAUGUCUGUCAAUAAGUUAGUGUGUGCGCUCUUCGUGUUGGAUAUUACACAUAAGACCACAUGCGUAGAAAAUUUUGGCGUUGAAAAGAUAAUUGAAGAAAAACACCUCCGCGAUAAUGGGUUCACGGACUUUGCUGUUGUAAAAUUGGACGAAAUCAUAAUUACUGGAAACAAUCAGAACGUAAAUAGGU